rnacentral:misc_RNA from 1 species
UCCGGUUUGACACCGGCAGUCUCCCUAGAGUUCCCGGCUUUACCCGCUGGUAACUAGGGACAAGGGUUGCGCUCGUUGCGGGACUUAACCCAACAUCUCACGACACGAGCUGACGACAGCCAUGCAGCACCUGUGCAUGGAUCCCGAAGGAGGCUCCUGGUUUCUCAGGAGUUUCCCAUGCAUGUCAAGCCUAGGUAAGGUUCUUCGCGUUGCGUCGAAUUAAACCACAUGCUCCACCGCUUGUGCGGGCCCCCGUCAAUUCCUUUGAGUUUCAACCUUGCGGUCGUACUCCCCAGGCGGGGUACUUAAAGCGUUAGCGACGGCACCCAGGGGGUCGCUCCCCCAAGCACCUAGUGCCCAUCGUUUACGGCGUGGACUAC